rnacentral:rRNA from 1 species
GACGAACGCUGGCGGCGUGCUUAACACAUGCAAGUCGAGCGGAGCGGCGAACGGGUGAGUAACGCGUGAGUAACUGCCCCCCUCUCUGGGAUAACAGUUGGAAACGGCUGCUAAUACCGGAUAGUUGGGGAUGACUCGCGUCCUAUCAGCUUGUUGGUGGGGUAUUGGCCUACCAAGGCGACGCCGGGUAGCCGGCCUGAGACGGCGACAGGCCACAUUGGCCUGAGAUACGGGCCAAACUGCUACGGGGGGCAGCAGUGGGGAAUAGUGCACAAUGGGGGAAACCCUGAUGGAGCAACGCCGCGUGCGAGAUGACGGCCUUCGGGUUGUAAACCGCGUUCAGCCAUAACGCGGUAGUGGCCGAAGAAGCACCGGCUAACUACGUGCCAGCAGCCGCGGUAAUUC